CCUACGGGGGGCAGCAGUGGGGAAUAUUGGACAAUGGGGGGAACCCUGAUCCAGCCAUGCCGCGUGUGUGAAGAAGGCCCUCGGGUUGUAAAGCACUUUCAGGGAGGAAGAACGCCUGGUGGUUAAUACCCAUCAGGAAAGACAUCACUCACAGAAGAAGCACCGGCUAACUCCGUGCCAGCAGCCGCGGUAAUACGGAGGGUGCGAGCGUUAAUCGGAAUUACUGGGCGUAAAGCGCGCGUAGGUGGCUUGAUAAGCCGGUUGUGAAAGCCCCGGGCUCAACCUGGGAACGGCAUCCGGAACUGUCGAGCUAGAGUGCAGGAGAGGAAGGUAGAAUUCCCGGUGUAGCGGUGAAAUGCGUAGAGAUCGGGAGGAAUACCAGUGGCGAAGGCGGCCUUCUGGACUGACACUGACGCUGAGGUGCGAAAGCGUGGGUAGCGAACAGGAUUAGAUACCCCAGUAGUC
rnacentral:rRNA from 1 species